GGGACCUUGUCAAUGAUGUUUAUUGAAUAGGAGACUGUUUACUCUGUUGUGUGACUAGAAUAUCAAAAUCCGUCACUCAGUUGAAAUGCAGCUGGUUCGGGCUGAGUGACUGAGUUCUCCUUGGAGGAAAGCAGCAGACAUCUUAAGCUCGGCCCUGAAGUUGAAAGUGAAACACUGUGGCAGCGUUUCAGAGGGAAAACACCACAUAUUUCUCCUGUGCUCAAAUAUUUUAUUUCAGCAUCGAAAGCAUUAUCUGGAACCGCAUGUUUUUUAAAUUGCACAAAUAAGUUAAGACUAGGCAACUGUUUUAACGGCCUCCUUGUAAAAGACAAUUGCAGUUCUGUGAGGCUGUAAAUAAAGGAGAGAGGCGGAGGUCACAGAAGACAGGAUGUUUUUCACACCCCUUCAUAUUAUGAAUAAAGCAGCGGUCUGCUUAUGUAGUUUUUGCCAGGUGUCUUGGUGCAUCCACUUCCUUUACAGCCUCGCUGAAUGCUCCGGUACUCGCGGGACACGACGCCGCGUGCGUUAUUUCGUUUAACAGUUCGCCGGCGCUCUUUCGUCCGCGCGCACUCACACUUCCAUCCACCUUCUAAUCACGUUGGAACCAUGAAAACACCCCCCACCCCCCGCUUCCUGCACCGGACAACCAACGCAAGAGUGGAAUUUCUAUACAUAUCAUAAGCGCAGAGGGGAAUUAAGACAAUUUAAUAAAGGCUUAACGCGCCGGGGUUGUCUCUGCUGCGCCUAAAGCCAUAUUUCCUCUGAUCAGCGGAGGAAGGAGACUUUAUUGGACAUGUUUCUAUUUCCAAAUCCGCAUAACGGGCAACGAUGCAUGCAUUUCCUAUAAUGUAGAUAAGGGAGAGAGGGUUUGAUAUGUAAUAAAAGGUGGGUCUGUGCUGCCUGUUUAAGCCCCUUAAGCCUGAUAAAUGAUGAGCGACAGAGGCACAGCAAGAGGGUCACCGCUAUUAACUCCUCGCUUUCCACUUAAACUUCUCUCAAUUACAGCUGGUAAUGUGGCUGGAUACGGGCCUUAUAGGCUUCGAGCUGUUCAAUCAAACCGAAAUAAAAAAGAAUAAAAAAUUUUAAAAAAGGAAAGAAAAUAAUACGCAAAUCUCCACGGGCGUCUUUGUUGCUGUAGGUAUGAGGCCGUCCCUGAAGCCACGUGUUAGGAGAGGGGGGGGGGAAAAUGAGGCUUUGGAGCUGAAGAAUUUACAGUUAGUCGCGAAACUUUUACAAGUAUUUGAGUUGCUCACUCUACUUUCUGAAAGCCUAUAGUCGCAAUUCACUCCGGGGGGGUCAAAAGAAGUUCAGAAUCAGAUGACUGAGGUAAUCGAAGAUUAAACCAUCGUAAAACCUGUCGAUUAAAGAAUUGAAUCAAAUCCGUGAAAUGAUUAAACGAGCGCAGCCGUUGCAUUUGGGGCAGAACGUGUUUGCAGAUGCACGUUACAUGCAUUUGCAGCCGCAUUUCUUCUCAUUACCGAACUCCUGCAGAGAGAAG
ensembl:lncRNA